rnacentral:rRNA from 1 species
ACGCUGGCGGCAUGCCUUACACAUGCAAGUCGAACGGCAGCACGGGUGCUUGCACCUGGUGGCGAGUGGCGAACGGGUGAGUAAUACAUCGGAACAUGUCCUGUAGUGGGGGAUAGCCCGGCGAAAGGCGGAUUAAUACCGCAUACGAUCUACGGAUGAAAGCGGGGGACCUUCGGGCCUCGCGCUAUAGGGUUGGCCGAUGGCUGAUUAGCUAGUUGGUGGGGUAAAGGCCUACCAAGGCGACGAUCAGUAGCUGGUCUGAGAGGACGACCAGCCACACUGGGACUGAGACACGGCCCAGACUCCUACGGGAGGCAGCAGUGGGGAAUUUUGGACAAUGGGCGAAAGCCUGAUCCAGCAAUGCCGCGUGUGUGAAGAAGGCCUUCGGGUUGUAAAGCACUUUUGUCCGGAAAGAAAUCCUUGGUUCUAAUAUAACCGGGGGAUGACGGUACCGGAAGAAUAAGCACCGGCUAACUACGUGCCAGCAGCCGCGGUAAUACGUAGGGUGCGAGCGUUAAUCGGAAUUACUGGGCGUAAAGCGUGCGCAGGCGGUUUGUUAAGACCGAUGUGAAAUCCCCGGGCUCAACCUGGGAACUGCAUUGGUGACUGGCAAGCUAGAGUAUGGCAGAGGGGGGUAGAAUUCCACGUGUAGCAGUGAAAUGCGUAGAGAUGUGGAGGAAUACCGAUGGCGAAGGCAGCCCCCUGGGCCAAUACUGACGCUCAUGCACGAAAGCGUGGGGAGCAAACAGGAUUAGAUACCCUGGUAGUCCACGCCCUAAACGAUGUCAACUAGUUGUUGGGGAUUCAUUUCCUUAGUAACGUAGCUAACGCGUGAAGUUGACCGCCUGGGGAGUACGGUCGCAAGAUUAAAACUCAAAGGAAUUGACGGGGACCCGCACAAGCGGUGGAUGAUGUGGAUUAAUUCGAUGCAACGCGAAAAACCUUACCUACCCUUGACAUGGUCGGAAUCCCGCUGAGAGGUGGGAGUGCUCGAAAGAGAACCGGCGCACAGGUGCUGCAUGGCUGUCGUCAGCUCGUGUC